rnacentral:rRNA from 1 species
GAUCCUGGCUCAGAAUCAACGCUGGCGGCGUGCCUCAGACAUGCAAGUCGAACGAUUAAGACUUCCUUCGGGAAGUGCAUAAAGUGGCGCACGGGUGAGUAACACGUAAGUAAUCUACCUUCGAGUGGGGAAUAACGUCCGGAAACGGACGCUAAUACCGCAUAAUGCAGCGGCAUCGUAAGAUGACAGUUGUUAAAGGAGCAAUUCGCUUGAAGAGGAGCUUGCGGCAGAUUAGCUAGUUGGUAAGGUAAUGGCUUACCAAGGCUACGAUCUGUAACCGGUCUAAGAGGACGGUCGGUCACACUGACACUGAAUAACGGGUCAGACUCCUACGGGAGGCAGCAG